rnacentral:sRNA from 1 species
AAGCUUUUCCUGUCUUCUGGUGAAGUCAACCAGUACCUUUGAGAAUAAGGAGCCAUCUCCCCUCUUCUUCCUCUGCCCCAUAUCAAAGUUGGCCUGGCAGAAAAAAAUCCCACCCAGAAUGUCUGGUUGUCAAGUUAUUAAGCAACAAAAGAUCACAAGCAGUUGGAAUACUAAUGUCUAGUCUUCAUUUAGAUAUGAAAGACAUACAACAUGCUGUUGUGAACUUGGAUAAUUCUGUGGUUGACCUGGAGACCCUUCAAGCUCUCUAUGAGAAUAGAGCACAGUCAGACGAACUCGAAAAAAUAGAAAAGCAUGGCCGAUCUUCCAAAGACAAGGAAAAUGCCAAGUCUCUGGACAAACCUGAACAGUUCCUUUAUGAACUGUCACUAAUCCCCAACUUUUCAGAGCGAGUCUUUUGCAUCCUGUUCCAGUCCACAUUUUCAGAAAGCAUUUGCUCAAUUCGUCGCAAACUGGAAUUACUACAGAAAUUGUGUGAGACAUUAAAAAAUGGCCCAGGGGUUAUGCAGGUUCUAGGUUUGGUUCUUGCCUUUGGCAACUACAUGAAUGGAGG